rnacentral:rRNA from 1 species
UACGAAGGGGGGCUAGCGUUGCUCGGAAUCACUGGGCGUAAAGCGCACGUAGGCGGCUUUCUAAGUCAGGGGUGAAAUCCUGGAGCUCAACUCCAGAACUGCCUUUGAUACUGGGGAGCUCGAGUCCGGAAGAGGUGAGUGGAACUCCGAGUGUAGAGGUGAAAUUCGUAGAUAUUCGCAAGAACACCAGUGGCGAAGGCGGCUCACUGGCCCGAUACUGACGCUGAGGUGACGAAAGCGUGGGGAGCAAACGGGG